GGUGUCCACGGCAUCGUUGGGGUUAAGCCACUUAACCAUGGAGGCAAGUGAAUGCGCAACAAGGGAUCUCUAACCUUCAAAAACUGUUUGAGGGAGAAUACUCUAUGAUAUGAUUAAGAAUCUCUGGCCAGAGUAUGAAUGAGAUUUAGGAAGUCGUUCCAAAUCACAUUCAAGGUAAUCAUAUAAGCACACGAAUCACAUUGGAUAGUAGACAUGAAUAAACUAUCAAACCAAACAAUGUGGUCAAGAGUAUUGUAUUAGAGAAAGACCGUAUUGCAUUUGUAAUCCUAAACUGAAUAGGUUCUCCACCUCUUCUGAUUAGCUUGGGUAACCAUGAUAUGCUGCUAGGUGUCACUCAUGGUUUGUGGAAGCCCUAAACGUGUAUAAUCACUAAAGGGAGAAUUGAAAAGUAAGUUUCAAUUCACAAUCGAUUUGAAAUGGUUUUUAAUCGCCCACUGCCUCGCUAAAAGGAACCUAAUGGAUCGUACACCGUGUAAGGUAGAGAUUGAAGAAACAACGGAGAUGAGUAAGAAUAAUUAAAUGGUUUAAUUAUUUAUGGCAAGGAUUAAUUAAUAUGUUAAUUAAUCAAAACGAAUAAGUUCGUUAAAAGACCUCGGGAUAGUUUUGGACCUUAAGGCCCAAUGGGCUUCGAACGUCAAGCCCAUUGACUUAAGUUGUAUGACAACUUAAUGAAUAAAUGAUUCACAAAGGCCUUAAAAGCCCAAUGAAACCCUAUGGCCGGCCAUUUAGUUUAAAGGAGUGGGUUUUUGGACUUAUUUACAAGUUUGCCACUCCAAUGAAUUAAGGUAUAAAUAUGACUUUAUAGCCAAAAUUCAUUUAGGGUUUCUUUUAAGAAAAUUGGGAGAGAACAAAAGUCUCUCCUUUCUCUCUAAAGAGGCCGGCCCCUUGGAGGGGAUUAGCUAGCAAUUUUUCUACUCCAAGGUCACUCAUUUCUUCAUCCAAUCUCUACCUUGGUGUGGAGACUUAGAGGUUCUCAAUUUUGGGAACUUGGAGAAACCUAUUCUUCCAUCCAAAUCCAUGGAUCUAAGAAGCAAGGAAUGAAGGCCCUAUCUCUUUGGGUGAUUAGCCUUUGCUUAUGCAAAGAGGAAUCUACAAAGGUAUAAUAUUUCUCAACUCACUUUGUUCUUGAGUUGAGUCUUGGUUCACCAAUCUACUAGGCUUUGAAUUUCAUGGUUAAUGUUUUGUUUUUAAGUGCAUACAAAGCAUGAUUCCGCCUUUUAAUUGUUAAUUGCAUGCUAUAGAUGUUGCUUAAAUGAACAUGUUUUUCACAAAAUUUUCCUUCAAGUGGUAUCAGAGCCUAGGUCUAGUAGUUGGUGAAUCCUUUUGGGUUUUGUAGUUCAUAGUUUGUGAUUUAAAAAGUUGUAAUAUGUUACAAGCUUUAUUCUUGUUUCUUUGAAUGUAAAUUUUGUUAGAAAAAUUUGCCAUCUCAAAUGUUGUAGAUGUAGUUCAUAUGAGCAUGAAUAUUGGAGCUAAAAUUUGGUGCCAUGUUUUUGGGAAAUUUUCGGCCAAAUCCAAAGGGUGGAUUUUUGGGUUCUUGUUUGACUUGUUAAAAGUGUUUUUCAAGUGACUUUUGGAACCCCUAUGUACCCUAGUUUGGUUAUAUGUUAUUUCCCUUAAGUUUGAAUGGUUUUGGGAAUGUUUUUGGGUGAAAAAUGUUCAUGGAAAUUUUUUGAGUUUUUCAUGGAUGUUCUUCAUUGUUCUUGACAUUUUUGCCAAGAACAAAAAGUUUUGGUGUUUUGAUUCAAAGUUUUGAUUUAUUUCAUAAAGUUUAUGUUUUAUAUUUUUCAAAUGUUUUUAAAUGUGUUUAGAUAUUUGUUUAGAAAGGUGUAAGAAAAUAUUGGUGGGUGUGUAAGGAUUAAUUCCCUUUCACACACACCACUUGCAUGACAUUUAUGUCAUGCACCACUUGCAUGCUUUAUGUCUAAAACUACAAAUCAAACACACACAUCACUCCCAUUUCUUCUAAAACCGGCCACCCUAUUAAAAUGGGGUACUUUUGGGGCUUUUAUGCAAUUACAUAAAGUUUUGAUACUUUUGUGUAUUUGCACUUUGGCCCAAAAGUUUACGUUUUUACGUUUAGGUCCAAAAACGCUAAAGGACAAAUUGUUUUGUUCCUUUAAUGAUGUUUUUCAGUUUAUUGAAUUUUUGGGUUCUAGUUGUAAUUACAUGAAGUAGUGGACUUUUGUGUUUUUUACAAAGUGACCCCAAAAGUUUUGUUUUUGCAAUAUGGCCCAAAAGUUGAGGUUAUUGCAUUUUGGCCCAAAUUAGGUUGAGAACAAAAUUGUUUUGUCUCUUUAAAUGAGAAUUGGAUUUUCAUUUCAUUUAGCUCCAUUUAAAUCAAUUUUAUGGAUACAAAAACCAAAUGAAAAUGUUGCAUUCAAUUUAAUUAGUUAAAGUGUUAAUUAAUUAAAGGGUGAUUAUGAACCUAAGCCUACGAUAAUUGAGCUAUGUGAAAGGCCGUUUCAAAUUUGUUUGAACCAUGGGAAUGUGUAGAUUAGAUUUUGGUUGUAAUUUGAUUUGAUCAAAUGUUGUAAAAGGGCAUAAGCUCUUCUUUACUUUAAAAGUAAUUUGUUUUAUGCAAAUGUUGUAAUGAGCAUAAGCUCACCUUUACUUUGAAGUACUUCUUUCUUGCUUUAUUUGAUAUGCAUGAAAAUGAAGUAGUUGGGUCCAACGCCCCUAAGACAACACGCCUUAAUGUGAUUAAACGCGUAACUAAAAUCAAUCACCAUCCCUAGACCGAGAUUCAACACAAGGCUCGUGUUGAAUCUAAACAAAGGUUCAUAGUCAUCCUAAGGCCCUAAGGCAACUAUAUAGUCCAUCAAAUGAAUGCAAAGUUUAUGUUAGUAGUAUCAUAUACUCUUGCUUUAAAAACCGUUUUAUAAGCAUAGUGGGAGUAUUAUAUACAACUAAAACAAUCAAAUGGACCAAUAGUUGUAAUAGGACCAAAAUUGUUUUAAUAGAGAUUAAAAUGAAUAUGUUUAUAUGUGAUGAGACCUAAAACCCUCAACCAAACCAUUAUUAAGUUGAUAAGCGUGAGAGUGCUUUGAACACUCUUUCGUGGCCUUCCACCGUGGUAGGCUCCAAUCGUUUUGUGACUCGUACACCGGCUUCACCCUAUCAUGGGGGAGUACAAAGUGCGUGCUUACACUCAGGAGGAGUUCUAUAUACAUACAUGAUGAAGUGAGGUAGGCAACGAGUUUAGCCAACAUGAUAUCAUUCUGAGGCUAUUCUUGAACCCCUCACGAACUAGCAUGGUGGGAAUGACUUAACUAAGUGCAAUGGAGCCAACAUGAUAUCAUUGUGAGGCAUCAUUCUCUAGAGGCCAAAAUAAGAUGGGUACUUGCAAGAGAUGCAAAUGAGUAAGCGUACUCUCUCAUUAUUAUUAAUGCUAGCCAACAUGAUAUCAUUCUGAGGUGGGCUUGGUAAUAGUGAGCCUCCCAUAACCCUACUAAGAGUUUCAUCCAAAACUCUCGAAUUCCAAUGAGGGAUAUGGAAUUUGCCAAAAAAUAGUGGGUGGUGCUAUUUGAUUUAAAGACCCGAAUCAAAUGGCUUAAAAUCAAUCAAUUUAUAUUCGUUAUGUAUUUGUUUACCAAUAUAUUUGCAAACGCUAUCCAAAACUUGACAAAGAAAAGCCGAAUGCUUUAGUUUCCGGACUUGGUACUACAAUCCCAAAGAUUGUCUUAAAUGGAUUGUAAUAUGUACCUAAGUAGUCUCUCAUCCUCACAAUCUUCCUAUUGAUAAUGUAUCAUUAGAAGAACAUGUUAGAUAAGUCUAUCAUAAAGAGGACAACACUUUUAAUGUCAUAAUUCUUCAACUUACAAAUUCGUUGUAUGAAGAAAUAAGAGUUGCUUUGAACAACCCUUAGUCAAUGCAAACACUUAGUGCUUGUUUCUUUGUUAAAUGAACAAAGAACUUGAGAAGAAAGCACAAGGGCAUGGACACUUUAUGUGCCAUGAUUCUUCACUUACAAAUUGUUGUAUGAAGAAAUGAGAGUUGCCUUGAACAACUCUUGAAAGUUUGUAAUUAUGUUUAGAACAUAAUGGUUGGUUGACAAAAAUAGUCCAUUCAACAUGGACUUAUGAUGAUUUUGAAUCAUUGAGUGUUGAAGUGUUAAACCACUUUAACGAGACGGAAACUAGGCAAGGACUUCACCUUUAUGUCCCUAUCCUAAUGGUUCACUAAGUUUAUUGUAAACUAUGUAGUGAACAAUAAACACAUGCUCUCCAAAAUGUUUGAUGUGUAUAACACAAUUGAAAUAAGUUUCAAGAGAGAUAGUGGGAGUUUAGGGACCAUGACUAUUGUAGUCAAAGGAGAAGUCAAAUGAAGAAAGCGAAAUAACUCCAAGGGAACAAACUUUCUUUAUGAAAGGAUGGACAUUGGAAGGGGUAUUUGCAAGAAAUGUCUUGCAAGUGUCAAGAACACACCUUUCGAAGGUGUUGUAAAUUGUUCUUGAAUAGUUCAAAACAGUUGGUUCUUCUACUUGAAUGCUUGAUUCCGUAUUAGUAACUAUGUUUUACAAUCGUUGUAAAAGUGUGACUAAUAAGAAGUAGAAGAUAUAUGAGAGAAGAAAAAGGUGCUUCACAUUCGGAACGUGAAUAAAAUAUAGAUCUCUGCGAAAGCAGAUGGUACUUACUUCCUCAUAUGAACUACCAAAGAAAAUUGGAAAAAACCAAAGAUUGUCUUUACAUUCCAAUUUUAAGGAACUUAAUUCCGUCACUAUAGUAGAAGAUGGAUGAAUGUUUUGUUUGACAAAACAUUGUUCUUUAUUAAUCAAUGAUUGGAUUAUAGUAAUCUAAUUGAUUGUCUCUAUAGUAGAGAUGAUAUGGUAGUGUUAACUGUUUAGAAUAUAAUGAUGCUUAAAACCCAAAAGGUUGCAAGGUAGUGACUAAUCCCAACUAAAGUUGUGAUACCUCUAAAACAUAAAUUACGAGUUGGUCAUAGAUGGAUGCUUUGGAUCGUUAGAUCCGGAUCCAAUACCUUCUUGUUAAAAUUGUAUAGAGGCGAAAUGUUCGAAUCUUUAUUCUUUUGGAAAGAAGAAAGAAUCACAAAGUUGUUGAGGUUAAUUCACUUAGAUGUUAGUGGCACUUGUCCACAACAUAAUACUACUCAUGUUGUAUGACAUUCACCGAAGAUCACUCUCGGUUGGACUAUAGUUUAUUUUGAAUAAACACAAGUCCGAAUACUUUGCAAAAGGUUUCAAAGAAUUCAAGAAAUGUAAGUUGAUGAGUAAGACGUCUAAAGUAUUUACCUCCUUUAGAUUUGAUCCAAGGAAAGGUAACACUUUAGAACAGUUUCCUUGAAAGAUAUCAAGGAAAGAAGCAUCAAAAGAUAAUGGAUUUCUCCAUUAGGAGAAGAACGAACUUGAAUAAGAUUUAGUUCGUUGGAUGUUAUCAAUUACCCAUAUAUAGGAUAUAUACUUCUAAAACAAUAUGAUUGUCAAUUAGAAGAUCUUCCAAAAUUUUCAUGACUCCAUAAGAUGUAGUUGGAAAGAAAGACAAAUCUUAAGCAUGUUAAGAUUUGGGGUUGUGUGCUAAUAAGCAAUAUUUGUUUGAUAACAUUAUCUUGUGGGAUAUCCUUAAAUUAACUUUUGGAUAUCGCUUCUAUAAACCAACUAACAAAUGUUGUUUUGUUGGGUAGUUCAUUGUAAUCCUACAAUGUGAUUUGCCUAAGAAGAGCAAAUGAACGAGAGAUAGAACUCAAAGAAUGGGUUCUUUGAGAGACAAGAUAGUAAUCAACAAAUAUAACAACCUAGUUCCUAUACCACAAGCUCCAAGGUAGUCGAGAAGGAUUUAUAAACCGUCUCAGUUGAAUGGUUUGAACUUUAUGACUAUGUCAUAGAGUUACACCUCUUAAUUCGAAAGAAAUAAGAAUGAAAAUCCUUAUGACUACAUUGAGUGUAUAUACGAUAUAUACUCAAGGAAAUGGUAAAGUACCAUUUGACCCGAAAUAAUGAAACCUUUUAUAGCUAAUUGGUAGCUUAAGGUGACUACAAUCAAAGAGAAUGGUUGACUUUGAAGAAACCAUCUUUAACGUAGUCUUGGUUUCAAUUAAUUCGAAGAUUGCUAGCUACAACUAAAUGGUGAUUCAAUGUUUGGACAUAAUAUGGGUUUCCGAAACCAUUAUUAAGAUAGUCUUGAUAAUAUAUGUCUAAAACUAUGAAUCACAAGACAUGUAAGUUGUAGAGAUCCAUCCAUCAUGGAAUCUUAGCAAGCUAGUGGGAGCUAUAAGCGUCUUAUGAGAGAAAGGAUCAAAUCGUUUGAUUUCUCAUUAAGAUGUAAAUGAAUCUUUUGUUUACUAGGUUUACAAAAGAUUAGUGGGAGUUAAUCAUAUUCCUAAAUUUGUAUAUAUAUAUAUAUGAUAUAUUAAUUUUGGAAAUGAAAAGAAUACUUCUUCGUUAAAGUUAUGACUUUAAACAUUAUAUGAAGAUAGAAUGUAUAUGGGAGACAUAGUCUAUAAAACAUGGGAUGGAAAUCUAUAAUGAUAGAUUUCAAGAUAUAAUUUGAUUAUAUCAAUCCCUAAUAAUAGACAAUAGAUGCUAGGAAGUUUCUCAUAUGAUGAUAAACUUCAAUUAGAAGGACGACUCUAGUGAGACUAGCAAGUUGCCUUUCUCAAAGGGAACGUGCCCUUUGACUCCCAAAGAAAUAAUGCGUAAAUAGAAUCCUUUAUGCAUACGCAGAAAGGUGAUUUAUGAAUUUCAUAUUGUAUGAAAACAUUGAUAUGAGUUGUACCUAGAACGGUACAAGACGAUAUCAGUGCAAGCCCAGGAUCAGAAACCAUGGCAACUGUCAAGUGAAGUCCUUAAGUAUUUAAGAAAUACUAAAGGAUAGAUUCCUCAAAGAAUGAGGAAGAAUUAGAGUAACGUAAAGGAAGCGUAAAUGUAUUAGAUUAUGAAUCUAAUCCAUCAUUGGAUGUUUCUUCAUUAUGAAUGAAGAGAUAAUCAGAUAUCUCUUUAUUAUGACUAAAGAGAUAUUUGGAUGGAAACAUUAAAAGUAAUGACUUUAGUAUGUUCCAUUAUGAAUGCAAAAUAUAUUGCCAUAUAGAAGCUUACAACAAUUGUUGUUUGGAUGGGAAAGUUCAUUUAUGAACUCUCUAUUUGGUUCUAACCAGAAAGUGUCUCUAGUGUACCGACACUACGAUACUAAUGGGGCGAUAGCUCAAGCCUGGGAAUCAAGGUCUCAUCAAGAUCCGAACUCAAAUGAGAUACUGAACCACAUGAUUAAGAAUCAUGUAUAAUGGUGACGUCGUUAUUCUCAAGGUUGCUUCUAUGGAUAAACAUAUAGAUAUCCAUUGUCUAGGCCUACUACUCAGCCAUUUAUGAAAUGACUACAGAAGAGGUAUCAUCACUGAUGACCAAGCUGAUUGGCUCUAGUGCAAGUGGGAGAUUGUUGGAAAUGUGCCCUAAAACCAAUCAUAUGAUGAUACUUUACGGACAUUUCACAAGUUAAACUAAUGUAGUUUAAAUAUAAAGGGCAAAAGGUUAUUGUUUGAGUCGUCUCAUAUAAAUGUUAUAUGCUUAAACGAUAAGUCCAAGGAAUAUGUGAUUGGGAGAAUGCAAUCUAAAGAAGUUAGAUUCAUGAGACCAUUCUUUCGUAUACAUAUCCUAAACGUUCCUGAUCAUAUGAUUGCGAAUUGGGCAUUGACAGUCCGUUAAGAUCAAUACGUGCUGUGUCUUCUCUCAGGGAGAGUGACUAGUCUCGAGUCAUUGGUGUGUGUGACAUCAAGACAAGUACGUAGGUGCUCAAUAGAGAAUGAGUUCACUGAACACGAUCAACGAAGAGUUCUCAUAUUCAUGUCACAUGAGAACUCAUGGUUGGGAUAAUGCAAAGUAGUCCUUUGACCUGAGGCAUCAUAGUUGUCUUGUGGUUAGGUCCUUGAUCUUUGACUAUGUCAAAGUCACACCAUCAGGAGGGUGUCCACGGCAUAGUUGGGGUUAAGCCACUUAACCAUGGAGGCAAGUAAAUGCGCAACAAGGGAUCUCUAACCUUCAAACUGUUUGAAGGAGAAUACUCUAUGAUAUGAUUAAGAAUCUUUGGCCAGAGUAUGAAUGAGAUUUAGGAAGUCGUUCCAAAUCACAUUCAAGGUAAUCAUAUAAGCACACGAAUCACAUUGGAUAGUAGACAUGAAUAAACUAUCAAACCAAACAAUGUAGUCAAGAGUAUUGUAUUAGAGAAAGACCGUAUUGCAUUUGUAAUCCUAAACUGAAUAGGUUCUCCACCUCUUC
rnacentral:lncRNA from 1 species